GACAGAGGGUGCAAACGUUGUUCGGAAUUACUGGGCGUAAAGCGAGUGUAGGCGGUUUGGUAAGGCGGAUGUGAAAGCCCCGGGCUCAACCCGGGAAGUGCACUCGAUACUGCCAAGCUAGAGUAUCGGAGAGGUUGGUGGAAUUCUCGGUGUAGAGGUGAAAUUCGUAGAUAUCGAGAGGAACACCGGUGGCGAAGGCGGCCAACUGGACGAAUACUGACGCUGAGACUCGAAAGCGUGGGGAGCAAACAGG
rnacentral:rRNA from 1 species